CUGUUGUCACGCCCGUGGCAUCGCAGGGUAGCUAAGUGCGGAAGAGAUAACCGCUGAAAGCAUCUAAGCGGGAAACUCGUUUCAAGAUGAGAUCUGCCGGGGCCUUGAGCCCCCUAAAGAGUCGUUCUAGACCAGGACGUUGAUAGGCUGGGUGUGGAAGUGCAGUAAUGCAUUAAGCUAACCAGUACUAAUUGCUCGUGCGGCUUGACCCU
rnacentral:rRNA from 1 species